GGCAUAGCCCACAUUCUUGUGAAUCACCCACAGUGAUUCCUGCAGUGUUGUCCCCAGCCUCAAGCCUCUCUGCACCGUAAUUGUGCUUCUUUUCCUCAGAUACCUGCCUUGCAUUGGCCCUGGGUAAAUGUUUCCCUUGGCUGUGAAUAGGCAAUUAAAAUUCUGAACCUUUUAUGGCUCUGGAAGCUUAUCCGAUGAAACAAUACUCAUCCAGGCGGAUGGCCCACCAGCGCAAAGGGCUGAGGCCGCUGUAAGCCAAGGUACGCAACGCUUGCUAAACAGGAAUCCCUGGAAUGAAUCCAUGCAUGAGGCCUUUGUGCCAUGUGACAGUUGAAGGCUGUGGUGACCCCGGAACCGUCCCACUCCGAGACGCCUUAACACCGUUUUUCUGCUGUUACAAACCACAGAGCAACGCGUGUGCCUCCUCCCGCCCUGGGGACUCUUUCUGUGGGAGAGGUGCCUGGAUUUAGAGGAGCGACCACUCUUCAUUUGUAGGUACUCUCCCUAGCCUGGGAGCCCUUCAGCUCCCACUCCAGAGUGGUUGUUGGUGGUAAUACGCCAGGCCUGGGGAAGCAGGAGUGGGAAGGUGUGAGAGGUGGGGGAGUGUGGUUGUCAACUGUUCUGAUUUUCCACCAGGAUCUUGGUCACUUUCCCAGUUGUCACUCGGCCCACAAACUAGGAUGUGAGCAGCAUAUUAAGAAUCUGCAGAGAUGUUCCCGUCUGCCCGGCAUAUGGAUGUCCUUCUGGGCUGCAAAGUGGCAUCCUGUGGGCAACUCCCCCCACAACAACCAGCUGUGAGCUGUGCCCAGGCACAGAGGGACCUGGCUUUCCCUGUUUCUGCAGAUGGAGCCCAGGGUUUCAGGGAGGGAGGGGGCAGGCUGGGACCUGUUGGGGAUCUGGGCACUUUCUCAUGCUCCUUGAGCUGCAAGUCAUAGAAGGAGUGGGGUGGGAGCUGGGAAUGUACCUUCCCAAGGCCACUGGCAGAACCAGCAGGCCCUUUGCUCUGGGAUGAGCUCCCUCUGAGGGGUGGGGACAGUAAAGCGGACCGAAGUCCCUGUUCUGCGGGAUGGAAACUGGCUCCCCUCCAUUGUACAGGCCAGCUCUGGGGAUUUGGGCAGCAGAUUUGGGGUUGACAGCAGAAUGACAUGAUCACCAGUUGACCUUGGCCAGGAUGCCAGCUUACUUUCUCGCUUACUUCUGCAGGUUCUUUGUUCUGCGGAAAAUAUUUAUGGCCAGGCAAGGUGGCUUACACCUGUAAUGCCAGCACUUUGGGAGGCUGAGGCAGGCGGAUCACCUGAGGUCGAGAGUUGGAGACCAGUGUGACCAACAUGGAGAAACCCCAUCUCUACUAAAAAUACAAAAUCAGCUGGGGGUGGUGGCGCAUGCCUGUAAUCCCAGCUACUCGGGAAGCUGAGGCAGGAGAAUCGCUUGAACCGGGGAGGCGGAGGUUGUGGUGAGCCGAGAUUGCACCAUUGCACUCCAGCCUGGCAACAAGGGAUAAACCCCGUCUCAAAAAAAAAAAAAGAAAAAAAAAAAGAAAAAAAUAUUUAUAAUGUAACUAAUAUAGCUAAAAUAAAAUGUAAUUUCAGUCUCAAGCCUUCAUUCUGUUAAGGGGACAGAAACUUAAUCUUGGUCAUCUUGGGGUCUCCCUCCCUGGGGCUGUGCCUGACUUCCAGGGGGCUCGGCGUUGGCAGGAUUUCUGGUGCUUGAGGUCACCUGUCAGCCUGUCUCU